ACGCUGGCGGCACGCCUAACACAUGCAAGUCGAACGAAGUAGCAAUACUUAGUGGCAGACGGGUGAGUAACAUGUAGGUAUCUGCCCUUUGGCCUGGAAUAACACGAGGAAACUUGUGCUAAUACCGGAUAAGUCUUUACGGAGAAAGCUUUAUGCACCAUUGGAUGAGCCUGCACUUGAUUAGUUUGUUGGUGGGGUAAUGGCCUACCAAGACUGUGAUCAAUAGCUGAUUUGAGAGGAUGAUCAGCCACAUUGGGACUGAGACACGGCCCAAACUCCUACGGGAGGCAGCAGUGGGGAAUCUUGCACAAUGGAGGAAACUCUGAUGCAGCGAUGCCGCGUGAGUGAAGAAGGCCUUUGGGUUGUAAAGCUCUUUCGUCGGGGAAGAAAAUGACUGUACCCGAAUAAGAAGGUCCGGCUAACUUCGUGCCAGCAGCCGCGGUAAUACGAAGGGACCUAGCGUAGUUCGGAAUUACUGGGCUUAAAGAGUUCGUAGGUGGUUGAAAAAGUUGGUGGUGAAAUCCCAGAGCUUAACUCUGGAACUGCCAUCAAAACUUUUCAGCUAGAGUAUGAUAGAGGAAAGCAGAAUUUCUAGUGUAGAGGUGAAAUUCGUAGAUAUUAGAAAGAAUACCAAUUGCGAAGGCAGCUUUCUGGAUCAUUACUGACACUGAGGAACGAAAGCAUGGGUAGCGAAGAGGAUUAGAUACCCUCGUAGUCCAUGCCGUAAACGAUGUGUGUUAGACGUUGGAAAUUUAUUUUCAGUGUCGCAGCGAAAGCGAUAAACACACCGCCUGGGGAGUACGACC
rnacentral:rRNA from 1 species